AUGGCAGAUGAAGAAAAGAAUCAGACGGAUUCCCAUUGAUUGUACAAUAUGAUAUCACAAUCAGCUAUUUCUGAGCCAU